GUUUUCAUGGAGGGAGACAGGGAUUCGAUAGCGGACGUUUGAUGAAGGCGGAGAGGCUGUUGCACUUAAACGCUGUCCUGUUUCCCAAACAGUGAAUACAGUGAGGAGUCAAUAUUCCUCAUUGGGUCUUUCAUGCUCAGUUAAGUAAACGCAUUGAUCCGUGCCCCCGGGACCUUAGCGGAAUGUAAUGUAGAAUGGACACAAUGUCCUGCAUUGACAGACUUGAGGCGUAAAGGCAGCGCGUCGGUCAUUAGCAUCCUUUACUCUUGGACUCUGUUGGCUUUUCUUUCUUUCCUGGUGACAUUUGCGGCCCCGCUGUGCUCGUCAUUGUUGGACUGCCUUCCGUCAAAUUGCAGAGUCCUCACUGUGAGCGCUCAUGCAAAGCCCAUGUUUGCAGUGGAGGGUCUGGAAGGUGAAGCUCGGCUGUGAUCUGAGUGCCUCCACCUCUGGAAGUGCAGCUGCCCGAAGAGGACGUUCAAGAGACCCAUCAGUCAUUUUGGAAACACUUCAAUGUGUGAGCUGCCGCGGUGCAGAGGAAACCACAACAAGACAGAGUUUGGACGACUCCUGCGUCUCUGAAGAGCGAUCCUCACCUGAGUGUGGGACGGAGCGAGGCCCUUCCGCCCAUAAACUCCAACCAGCGCGUUCCUCUGCACGGAGAUGUUGAACUUCAGGAAGCGUGGCUCGUCCAUGUUCAGACGCUGAUGGCCGUCCUUCUCUGUUCCAAAAACCACUGAACUCCCUCCAAUCAGGCGGGUUUGCAGAGCUGGAACUGCAAUCUCACCUCAGCAGGUCCUCAUUUCAAUGGCAGGAUCUGCUUAGUGUUCAGCUUCCAGUCAGUGUUAGAGAGCCAGGCAAACAAUUCUAUAAAUCUGAAGAAAAAAAAAAGCAGAUUCACUCCUAGAAUCACAAACCUUCUUAGAUAUAGGAAGGAUGUGAAAAGUGACUUUUUCAGGGACAAAUGGCUCCCAGGUCAAACCCAUCUCAAAGGAAAGAGGCGGUCUUAUAAAAUGGCCAUUGAGUUUCUACAUCUUUUUUUUUCCUUGAGCUAUGAUGGGAAGAUAUCUAUAAAUGUAAUUGGAC
rnacentral:lncRNA from 1 species